rnacentral:rRNA from 1 species
UACGUAGGGUGCAAGCGUUGUCCGGAAUUAUUGGGCGUAAAGAGCUCGUAGGCGGUUUGUCGCGUCUGCUGUGAAAACCCGAGACUCAACCUCGGGCCUGCAGUGGGUACGGGCAGACUAGAGUGCGGUAGGGGAGAUUGGAAUUCCUGGUGUAGCGGUGAAAUGCGCAGAUAUCAGGAGGAACACCGGUGGCGAAGGCGGGUCUCUGGGCCGAUACUGACGCUGAGGAGCGAAAGCGUGGGGAGCGAACAGG